rnacentral:rRNA from 1 species
CGUAAAGCGUACGUAGGCGGAUUAGUUAGUCAGAGGUGAAAUCCAGGGCUCAACCCUGGAACUGCCUUUGAUACUGCUAGUCUUGAGUUCGAGAGAGGUGAGUGGAAUUCCGAGUGUAGAGGUGAAAUUCGUAGAUAUUCGGAGGAACACCAGUGGCGAAGGCGGCUCACUGGCUCGAUACUGACGCUGAGGUACGAAAGUGUGGGGGAGCAAACAGGAUUAGAUACCCCUGGUAG